GGAGGGUGCGAGCGUUGUCCGGAAUCACUGGGCGUAAAGGGCGCGUAGGCGGCACAGUAGGUAGGUGGUGAAAUCUCACGGCUCAACCGUGAAACGGCCUCCUAAACUGCUGAGCUCGAGCACGGUAGAGGCAGAUGGAAUUCCCGGUGUAGCGGUGGAAUGCGUAGAUAUCGGGAAGAACACCAGUGGCGAAGGCGGUCUGCUGGGCCGUUGCUGACGCUGAGGCGCGACAGCGUGGGGGGGAGCAAACAGGAUUAGAUACCCUGGUAGUCCACGCCGUAAACGAUGGGUACUAGGCGUCGGGGGGGAGCGACCCCUUCGGUGCCGUCGCUAACGCAGUAAGUACCCCCGCCUGGGGAGUACGGCCGCAAGGCUG
rnacentral:rRNA from 1 species